rnacentral:rRNA from 1 species
GCUGGUCUUCAACGGGGACAUGUGCACGCUCUGUUUACACAUCCACUCACACCUGUGCACCCUCCGUAGUUCUAUGGUCUGGGGGACCCUGUCUUCCUGCCGUGGUUCUACGUCUUUACACACACUCUGUAAUAAAGUCUUAUGGAAUGUAUGCCGCGUCUAACGCAAUACAAUACAACUUUCAGCAACGGAUCUCUUGGCUCUCGCAUCGAUGAAGAACGCAGCGAAAUGCGAUAAGUAAUGUGAAUUGCAGAAUUCAGUGAAUCAUCGAAUCUUUGAACGCACCUUGCGCCCCUUGGCUAUUCCGAGGGGCAUGCCUGUUUGAGUAUCAUGAACACCUCAACUCUCAUGGUUCGCCAUGAUGAGCUUGGACUCUGGGGGUUUUGCUGGCCUGUGGUCGGCUCCCCUCAAAUGAAUCAGCCUCCCAGUGUUUGGUGGCAUCACGGGUGUGAUAAAUAUCUACGCUCGCGGUUGUCUGCCAGGUAACCUUUGGUGACAAAGGUUCGCUGGAGCUCACAGAUGUCUCUCCUCGGCGAGGACAGCUUUUUUGAACGUUCGAUCUCAAAUCAGGUAGGACUACCCGCUGAACUUAAGCAUACAUA